rnacentral:rRNA from 1 species
AUGAACGCUGGCGGCGUGCCUAAUACCUGCAAGUCGAGCGAACAGACGAGGAGCUUGCUCCUCUGAUGUUAGCGGCGGACGGGUGAGUAACACGUGGAUAACCUACCUAUAAGACUGGGAUAACUUCGGGAAACCGGAGCUAAUACCGGAUAACAUGUUGAACCGCAUGGUUCAACAGUGAAAGACGGUCUUGCUGUCACUUAUAGAUGGAUCCGCGCCGCAUUAGCUAGUUGGUAAGGUAACGGCUUACCAAGGCAACGAUGCGUAGCCGACCUGAGGGGGUGAUCGGCCACACUGGAACUGAGACACGGUCCAGACUCCUACGGGAGGCAGCAGUAGGGAACCUUCCGCAAAGGGCGAAAGCCUGACGGAGCAACGCCGCGUGAGUGAAGAAGGUCUUCGGAUCGUAAAACUCUGUUAUUAGGGAAGAACAAAUGUGUAAGUAACUAUGCACGUCUUGACGGUACCUAAUCAGAAAGCCACGGCUAACUACGUG